ensembl:misc_RNA Metazoa_SRP Metazoan signal recognition particle RNA
GCUGGGUAUGGUGGUGCAUGCCUAUAGUCCCAGCUACUUGGGAGCUGAGGCACAAGAAUUGCUUGAACCCAGGAGGUGGAGGCUGCAGUGAGCCGAGAUUGUGCCACUGCAGUCCAGCCUGGGUGACAGAGCAAGAGUCUGUCUCAA